UCUACGGGAGGCAGCAGUGGGGAAUAUUGCACAAUGGGGGGAACCCUGAUGCAGCGACGCCGCGUGGGUGAUGAAGUACUUCGGUAUGUAAAGCCCUAUCAGCAGGGAAGAAAAUGACGGUACCUGACUAAGAAGCCCCGGCUAACUACGUGCCAGCAGCCGUGGUAAUACGUAGGGGGCGAGCUAUAUCCGGAUUUACUGGGUGUAAAGGGAACGUAGACGGCGUGCCAAGUCUGGUGUGAAAGGCCGGGGCUCAACCCCGGGACUGCAUUGGAAACUGGCAUGCUGGAGUGCCGGAGGGGCAAGCGGAAUACCUAGUGUAGCGGAGAAAUGAGUAGAUAUUAGGAGGAACACCGGUGGCGAAGGCGGCUUGAUGGCCGGUAACUGACGUUGAGGCUCGAAAGCGUGGGGAGCAAACAGGAUUAGAUACCCGAGUAGUC
rnacentral:rRNA from 1 species